UAAGACUGGGUAUAACUCCGGGAAACCGGGGCUAAUACCGGAUAACACCUACCCCCNCAUGGNGGAAGGUUGAAANGUGGNUUCCGCUAUCACUUACNUAUGGACCCGCANCANNUUANCUANUUNGUGAGGUAAUGGCUCACCAAGGCGACUAUNCNUAGCNUANCUGAUANGGNGAUCGGNCACUCUGNNACUUANACACGGCCCAGACUCCUACGGGAGGCAGCAGUAGGGAAUCUUCCGCAAUGGACGAAAGUCUGACGGAGCAACGCCGCGUGAGUGAAGAAGGUUUUCGGAUCGUAAAACUCUGUUGUUAGGGAAGAACAAGUGCCGUUCGAAUAGGGCGGCGCCUUGACGGUACCUAACCAGAAAGCCACGGCUAACUACGUGCCAGCAGCCGCGGUAAUACGUAGGUGGCAAGCGUUGUCCGGAAUUAUUGGGCGUAAAGCGCGCGCAGGUGGUUUCUUAAGUCUGAUGUGAAAGCCCACGGCUCAACCGUGGAGGGUCAUUGGAAACUGGGGAACUUGAGUGCAGAAGAGGAAAGUGGAAUUCCAAGUGUAGC
rnacentral:rRNA from 1 species